CCCAGACUCCUACGGGAGGCAGCAGUGGGGGAUAUUGCACAAUGGGCGCAAGCCUGACCCAGCAACGCCGCGUGAAGGAAGAAGGCUUUCGGGUUGUAAACUUCUUUUCUCAGGGACGAAGCAAGUGACGGUACCUGAGGAAUAAGCCACGGCUAACUACGUGCCAGCAGCCGCGGUAAUACGUAGGUGGCAAGCGUUAUCCGGAUUUACUGGGUGUAAAGGGCGUGUAGGCGGGGACGCAAGUCAGAUGUGAAAACCACGGGCUCAACCUGUGGCCUGCAUUUGAAACUGUGUUUCUUGAGUACUGGAGAGGCAGACGGAAUUCCUAGUGUAGCGGUGAAAUGCGUAGAUAUUAGGAGGAACACCAGUGGCGAAGGCGGUCUGCUGGACAGCAACUGACGCUGAGGCGCGAAAGCGUGGGGAGCAAACAGGAUUAGAUACCCCCGUAGAA
rnacentral:rRNA from 1 species